rfam:Felis catus isolate Cinnamon breed Abyssinian chromosome B1, whole genome shotgun sequence.
GCCUGGGUGGCUCAGUUGGUUAAGCAUCUGACUUCAGCUCAGGUCAUGAUGUCACAGUUUGUGGGUUUGAGUCCUGUGUCAGGCU